UACGGAGGGUGCGAGCGUUGUCCGGAAUCACUGGGCGUAAAGGGCGCGUAGGCGGCCUGGUAAGUAGGGGGGUGAAAUCCUGCGGCUUAACCGCAGGGCUGCCUUCUAAACUGUCAGGCUCGAGCACGGUAGAGGCAGAUGGAAUUCCCGGUGUAGCGGUGGAAUGCGUAGAGAUCGGGAAGAACAUCAGUGGCGAAGGCGGUCUGCUGGGCCGUUGCUGACGCUGAGGCGCGACAGCGUGGGGAGCAAACAGG
rnacentral:rRNA from 1 species